rnacentral:lncRNA from 1 species
GUGGAUUCAGGUCCUACUAGUCUUACUCCUGAUGAAGCUGGGCAAAUCAGUUGGCUCUGGAGUAAUUAGUAGCCCCUUCCUCACUGACCAUUGCAAGCGUACACUGCAGCCUCAAAACUGAGUGGAGGGCCUCCUUUGGAUGACAUGAGACUGCUCAUCGUCAAGAGAGCAAUUGAGUUUCUAUGUGACCUAUCUGAAAGUGGAUAGUUGUGCGACCUCAAGCAAGCCACUUCUUUCUUCUGGAUUUGGAGUUUUUCAAUCCAUAUAGCGAACCCACCCCAGUGACCCUGGCAUCUUGCUCUUUCUCAAACCCUGUAGGAGUCCUCAUGCCUCUGCUUCCAAGGCUCCUUCUAUCAUGUUCCCCUUCCCUCGGAUAUCCGCAGCCUCACUUCUUUAUGCCAAAGCGUGUAUCACUGUUUAGCCUAUUUUACUUUUUUAAAACCUUAUUUUUAGAGCAUUUUUACAUUUAUGAAAGAUUGCACAAAAAAUAAAGUUCCCCUAUAACCCUUCCUCCCCAUC